AGAAAACGAAUUUUGAUAUUGCUACGAAGAUGGUGGAGGGUUUAGCUAUUGUUUCUCUGUUGAUCGCUUUGUUCACCUAUUUCAUUCAGGCCAGGUUCAAGAGAAAAAAAAGAGGAAAUAUUAAAUGGAUGAUAAAUCAGAAAGGAAGACAAUUGACAGAUUAAAAGGUUUGCAGGUUGUAUUCAGAAUGUAUACUUGUAUUAAGUCUAAAUUAGUAGAUGAGGAAUAUAGCUAACUUUAUAUAAGUGCUGUAGAUGAAGAAUGUAUCGCAUAUAAUUUUGUACAGUUAUUAUUAUGUGUGUGAAUAUCACAAUAUUUUGUUGAGAAAUGAAUCUUUUUGUGUAUCAAAAUAAUACAGAUGGUUCUGUUUGGAGCUAAAGGGUCUACCUAGCCUGCUUGAGUGUUGCAUUUCCUUAAGAAAAGGACAUUAGUGAAAGUUUUUUUGUUUGUUCUUGGACUCCAUUUGUUUAAAAUUCCAUAACUAUUUAAUUGCCUUUAUGUGAAGUCAUUAUAUGCUCAGUUUUUAGUGUGUAGCUUUGGGGAAAGGAAAUAGAAAAAGAAUUUUAUAUUUUUCAGGGAAAAUUCAAAAGCAACCUAAAAUUGCUUAGAAAUACUUAAUAAAAUGGUCCAAAUAAACU
rnacentral:misc_RNA from 1 species